rfam:Candidatus Saccharibacteria bacterium RIFCSPHIGHO2_12_FTLL_42_8 rifcsphigho2_12_scaffold_15285, whole genome shotgun sequence.
GCCUGCCGGAAAUGUCGUACGGGUAAAGUCGAUAAACACCCUUUUCUCUCAUAGAGAAGUAAGACAAAGUAUGGUAGCAGUGAAAAUAGCAAUAUAUUCACAAGGAG